GCCGCGGUGGUGGAAUGGCAUACACGCUCGCCUUAAGAGCGAGUCCCCAAAAGGGAUGUGGGUUCGACUCCCACUCGCGGCA
rnacentral:tRNA from 4 species